rnacentral:lncRNA from 1 species
AGAUGCUGUAGCUCAAACAACCGCUAGAAGACAAACGCCGUGGUCCUCCCACCUCCCCAAAGCUCCUGAGUGCAGCCCAAGGAACAGGAACUAUUUUUAAUAGCCCGAUGAAUGGGACUAUGCCUUGCGCUGCACCCUGAGCCUGACUCUGUGUGAAGUGGGGCGAAUAAGCGGACAGAGGGACAGUAUUUUCUUUCAGUGAGACCCGAGGUGGAAAAUACGCAGCAAUGACAGAGCAGCAGUCGUGCGCAGCGGCAAAAUAGACCAACUAUUUGUGGGGACGGGAGAUUGAUAACACCACUGGGCGAGCAACGAGAGCGGCAGAUGUAAUUUCCAAACGGUCCAGCUGGUUUGGUGCCAGUGGUGUGUUGGAUGGGUUAUUAUUGCGUUCUCCCUUUUCAUCAUCCACUGCUUCCAGCGUUUCCAGAUUACUUGGGGAUCUCGGACGGCUGUCUGUGAGGGAGUAUUGGUGCAGAGACUAACGGGGAAUGCCAUGUGUCGUUGCGCGACAUAGACGCUCUUUGUGGGCUGUUUUGCACCGGGGACAGGUGGUGCCGUGUGUGUGUGUAUGUUGAAAUUAGCAGGGGGCACGGACACACAACCCCUGAGACAGUUGUCUUAGGGAUGUCAGGCCGGCGUACGGGAUCAGCUUUUGCCAGAGACAGGUGCGACAGGGAGGAGUAGUUUACAAAGCCCUACACAGGAUCUGGUAACGCACUAACAAGCCUCCUCUCGCCUCUGAUCACUCGGAUUUUUUUGUAUCCAGCGGGACUGACAAUCGACUCAUACUGCCGUUUCUCGGCGGCACCUUUCCACAGAUAAACAGAGACUUCGCCGUUGUGUUGCUAUGGCGACCAUGGCCCCUCCCUUCUUCCUGCUGUGUUGGCUGCUCCGAGCGGCCAGCUCGGCGUUCCCAGAGGAACCGUUGCCCCUCAACUUCAUCCCCACUGAAGGUAUUGACCUCGCCGAUUUUCUCACCCUGUAGCUGCCUUCUCCCCUGUGUGCCUCUCUCCCAGGUCGUGACGUGUGAG